GGAAUCUUGCGCAAUGGGCGAAAGCCUGACGCAGCAACGCCGCGUGCGGGAAGAAGGCUUUCGGGCUGUAAACCGCUUUCAGUAGGAACGAAACUGACGGUACCUACAGAAGAAGGAGCGGCCAACUAUGUGCCAGCAGCCGCGGUGACACAUAGGCUCCAAGCGUUGUCCGGAUUUAUUGGGCGUAAAGAGCUCGUAGGCGGUUGAGUAAGUCGGGUGUGAAAACUUUGGGCUUAACCCAAAGAUGCCACUCGAUACUGCUUUGACUUGAGUUCGGUAGGGGAGUGGGGAAUUCCUUGUGUAGCGGUGAAAUGCGCAGAUAUGAGGAGGAACACCGGUGGCGAAGGCGCCACUCUGGGCCGAUACUGACGCUGAGGAGCGAAAGCGUGGGGAGCAAACAGGAUUAGAUACCCUGGUAGUCCACGCGGUAAACGGUGGUCGCUAGGUGUGGGUCUCUUCAAACGAGAUCUGCGCCGUCGCUAACGCAUUAGGUGACCCGCCUGGGGAGUACGGUCGCAAGACUAAAACUCAAAUGAAUUGACGG
rnacentral:rRNA from 1 species